GCAGCGCGUGCUUGAGCACGAUAUUGCCAAAGCUCACGCCCUUGAGGCGGGCAGUGCGGAUGUAUUGGGCCGUCAUGACCUCGGUCAUCGAGGCCCGCGUCAUCCUUGCAAUAUAUCCCAUCCCGUAAAGCGAGAUCGUGAGGACAGGCAGGAAGAAGUUCUCGAAAUUGG
rnacentral:ncRNA from 1 species